AGUGAACGCUGGCGGCGUGCCUAAUACAUGCAAGUCGAACGGAGUGGCGCACGGGUGAGUAAUAUAUAGCUAAUCUGCCCCUUGCUGGCGGACAACCGUUCGAAAUGACUGCUAAUACUCCAUAGAAAGGGAUGAGACUAUAUCGUAUCAGCUAGUCGGUGGGGUAACGACCUACCGAGGAGAUGAUGCUUAACUGGUCUGAGAGGAUGAUCAGGCAAAGUGGAAUGGAGACACGGUUCACACUCCUACGGGAGGCAGCAGUAGGGAAUAUUGCGCGAGGGGGGAAACCCUGACGAAGCAACGCGGCGUGGAGGAUGACACUUUUCGGAGCGUAAACUCCUUUUGUCAGUGAAGCGGUACCUAACGAAUAAGCACCGGCUAACUCCGUGCCAGCCGCCGCUGUAAUUC
rnacentral:rRNA from 1 species